GGCUCCAUAGUGUAGUUGGUUAUCACAUGAGGUUCUGAUCCUCACGACCCGAGUUCGAAUCUCGGUGGGGCCU